UCUAUCACAAUUUCAGUAUUCAUUCCUCCGUCAAGUCAGUAAGUCAGUCGAUAAUUUACCCAAAAAAAAUAAUUAUUGAAAAAAUCGAAAGAAAUCCGAAAUAAACCAGAAAUCAUCCCGAAAUCUAACUAAAAUAAAACCGAAAAUGCGUCGCAUCAACGUUUCGGCCAUUUCUUUGGUGAGGGAAAAAAUUGACUUUACCUUUAGUGACCGAAUGCCGCUCUAUAAGGUGAUGCAGGCCUAUGCUGAUUAUUUUGCGAUCGAUCGCAAAAGUCUGGAAUUUCGUGUUCAUGGCUUAUUGAUUUUGGAUAACGAUACGGCCUUUUUAAUCAAUAUGGGAACGGGCUGUACAAUCAGGGUGACUGAUAAAAUUCAAGAACAAUCGGAGAAAAAAGAACAAGGACAACCGGAAGCAGAACAAGGACAAUCCGAAGCAAACCAAGAAUAUUUAUAGUAUUUAUAUUUUAAUAAUGUUUAUAUUUUAUAUUUGCCAAGUUAACACAUGAAGACACGAAAAUUACAUACGCAAAUGCCAGCUGAGUUAUGUUUAAUCAAGUUCCGUCAAAUUGAAACCCAGGAUAGGUGCUUGUGCCAAUAUUUUCCUGUUGAUCUAUUGAACUUUAAGCAGAAAAACCAAGAAAAUCGGACUCGGUUAAGAAUAAUCCCAGCAUUGAACAGUAAUAAUUAAACCAGGACGAUUUGUUAAUAUACAGUACGGUACAUGUACAUAAGGAUACUCUCGGGUCAACAUUUAUAGAGAAAGAGAGAGAGAGAGAUAGAGAGCGACAGACAGGACGAAACCGUUUUGGGGGCACUUGAUGGAAGGAAGUACCAGAGGACGAAGGACGAAAGGACGGGCCAUUGUUAGCGGUUGCUGCAUCGCUUCUCAUCCCAUUUAACCCCUUGUUGCUCCACCUGCCUGCCAGGCAAUCUCUCCUCCAACGGGUUUGUCGGUCUGCUGGCGCUUCAUCAAUUCAGUCCAUGUCCGACCGACAGAAACAAAACAGGAGUGGCCCAAGGAUUGGGCUUUUGACAGAGGGAAGAAACCAGGAACAGGAACGGGAACAGGAUCAGGAGAGAGGUGCAAGCGGCGUACGACAUUUGUACGAUUCCAUUUGAAUAAUUUAGACAUUUACGUUGAUGAAUAAAACCGAAAGCACA